rnacentral:rRNA from 1 species
GUAGGUGGCGAGCGUUAUCCGGAUUUACUGGGUGUAAAGCGCGUGCAGGCGGUCUGGUAAGUCGGGCGUGAAAUCUCUCGGCUCAACCGAGAGGGGUCGUCCGAUACUGCUAGACUUGAGGGCAGUAGAGGAAGGUGGAAUUCCCGGUGUAGUGGUGAAAUGCGUAGAGAUCGGGAGGAACACCAGUGACGAAGGCGGCCUUCUGGGCUGCCCCUGACGCUCAGACGCGAAAGCUAGGGGAGCGAACGGGAUUAGAAACCCCGGUAGUCCUAGCCGUAAACGAUGCAGACUGGGUGUCGGCGGUCUUAACCCCGCCGGUGCCGUAGCUAACGCGAUAAGUCUGCCACCUGGGGACUACGGCCGCAAGGUUA